rnacentral:tRNA from 1 species
GCGUCCAUAGCUCAGUAGGUUAGAGCGCUAUCUUGACAUGGUAGAGGUCAGUGGUUCAAAUCCACUUGGAUGCA